CCUACGGGGGGCAGCAGUGAGGAAUAUUGGUCAAUGGACGAGAGUCUGAACCAGCCAAGUAGCGUGAAGGAUGACUGCCCUAUGGGUUGUAAACUUCUUUUAUAUGGGAAUAAAAUGUUCCACGUGUGGGCUUUUGUAUGUACCAUAUGAAUAAGGAUCGGCUAACUCCGUGCCAGCAGCCGCGGUAAUACGGAGGAUCCGAGCGUUAUCCGGAUUUAUUGGGUUUAAAGGGAGCGUAGGUGGAUUGUUAAGUCAGUUGUGAAAGUUUGCGGCUCAACCGUAAAAUUGCAGUUGAAACUGGCAGUCUUGAGUACAGUAGAGGUGGGCGGAAUUCGUGGUGUAGCGGUGAAAUGCUUAGAUAUGACGAAGAACUCCGAUUGCGAAGGCAGCUCACUGGACUGCAACUGACACUGAGGCGCGAAAGUGUGGGUAUCAAACAGGAUUAGAUACCCUAGUAGUC
rnacentral:rRNA from 1 species